CAGUCGCCGCGGGAAUACGUAGGGUGCGAGCGUUGUCCGGAUUUAUUGGGCGUAAAGGGCUCGUAGGUGGUUGAUCGCGUCGGAAGUGUAAUCUUGGGGCUUAACCCUGAGCGUGCUUUCGAUACGGGUUGACUUGAGGAAGGUAGGGGGGAAUGGAAUUCCUGGUGGAGCGGUGGAAUGCGCAGAUAUCAGGAGGAACACCAGUGGCGAAGGCGGUUCUCUGGGCCUUUCCUGACGCUGAGGAGCGAAAGCGUGGGGAGCGAACAGGCUUAGAUACCCCCGUAGUCCCUGUCUCUUAUAC
rnacentral:rRNA from 1 species